ACUCAAAUGAAUUGACGGGGACCCGCACAAGCGGUGGAUGAUGUGGUUUAAUUCGAUGCAACGCGAAGAACCUUACCUACCCUUGACAUGCCAGGGAGCCCGCUGAGAGGCGGGUGUGCCCGAAAGGGAACCUGGACACAGGUGCUGCAUGGCUGUCGUCAGCUCGUGUCGUGAGAUGUUGGGUUAAGUCCCGCAACGAGCGCAACCCUUGCCACUAGUUGCUACGGAAACGGGCACUCUAGUGGGACUGCCGGUGACAAACCGGAGGAAGGUGGGGAUGACGUCAAGUCCUCAUGGCCCUUACGGGUAGGGCUACACACGUCAUACAAUGGCGCAUACAGAGGGUUGCCAACCCGCGAGGGGGAGCCAAUCCCAGAAAGUGCGUCGUAGUCCGGAUUGCAGUCUGCAACUCGACUGCAUGAAGUCGGAAUCGCUAGUAAUCGCGGAUCAGCAAUGCCGCGGUGAAUACGUUCCCGGGUCUUGUACACACCGCCCGU
rnacentral:rRNA from 1 species